CGACCGGCGCACGGGUGAGUAACACGUAUCCAACCUGCCGAUGACUCGGGGAUAGCCUUUCGAAAGAAAGAUUAAUACCCGAUGGCAUAGUUCUUCCGCAUGGUAGAACUAUUAAAGAAUUUCGGUCAUCGAUGGGGAUGCGUUCCAUUAGCUUGUUGGCGGGGUAACGGCCCACCAAGGCAUCGAUGGAUAGGGGUUCUGAGAGGAAGGUCCCCCACAUUGGAACUGAGACACGGACCAGACUCCUACGGAAGGCAGCAG
rnacentral:rRNA from 1 species